AACGCAUCUUGCGCCCCUUGGUAUUCCGAGGGGCAUGCCUGUUUGAGUGUCGUGACCUCCCUCAACGACCUUUCCUUUGUCUCCUUUUCGGAAAACAAAGGGAGGGGGCGGUUGGAUUUGGACGUCUGCGGCGGGGUCUUACCCGUCGCUCGUCUCUAAAUGCAUUAGCAGCCGGUUUCCUUUAAGGUGAAGUCGGUCCAGACGACGGUGUGAUAAUUGAGACGCCUUGCCGUCGAGCGCCGUCAGGGUCGACCUUUUUUGCCUUGGGGGGCCAUUGCUUUGUUGGACGUAUGUCGCUUCAGUGCCAUCUGACCUCAAAUCAGGUAGGAUUACCCGCCGAACUUAA
rnacentral:misc_RNA from 1 species